rnacentral:rRNA from 1 species
UGCAGAGGUGGCAAGCGUUGUUCGGAAUUACUGGGCGUAAAGGGCGCGUAGGCGGCCUUCUAAGUCGGACGUGAAAGCCCCAGGCUUAACCUGGGAACUGCGUCCGAUACUGGGAGGCUUGGAUUCGGGAGAGGGAUGUGGAAUUCCAGGUGUAGCGGUGAAAUGCGUAGAUAUCUGGAGGAACACCGGUGGCGAAGGCGGCAUCCUGGACCGAGAUCGACGCUGAGGCGCGAAAGCUAGGGGAGCAAACGGG